UGAUUUUUUUUAUUUGGACUUCUUGAGAAGGGAUUACACUAAAGUUACUUCUAAUUGUUGCACUUAGUUUGAUGUUUGAUAACUUCUCCCUCUGCUGUUAAUGCCAAAUAUGACUCUAGCUAUCAUUCAUAAUUAGUUAGAAAUUUAGAAUGCACAUGUUCAUUCCUGUAUUCAUUCUAGAAAUGCGUGAAUUUGUCCUGAAUUAUUGUGUUCUGGUGUUUGUGUUGUACAUUCAUGGUUCUUCCCAUUACUCUUUUCAUCUCCUCUCUUGUGAAGCAUAUGAUUAGACUAAAUGAAAUGAUUGUGCCUAAGUAUCCCUUUCCCUGAAACAGAUGGAAUACCUGAUUAUUUGAUUCUAACCAGUUUUAAUAGUUUCUGUUGUCCUUUGGCUUGAGAUGUGUGCAUCUCUUAAACCCCCCGCACCCCUCCCCCCCC
rnacentral:misc_RNA from 1 species